AGAGAGCGGCGUACGGGUGCGGAACACGUGUGCAACCUGCCUUUAUCAGGGGGAUAGCCUUUCGAAAGGAAGAUUAAUACCCCAUAAUAUAUUGAAUGGCAUCAAUUAAUAUUGAAAACUCCGGUGGAUAGAGAUGGGCACGCGCAAGAUUAGAUAGUUGGUGAGGUAACGGCUCACCAAGUCAGUGAUCUUUAGGGGGCCUGAGAGGGUGAUCCCCCACACUGGUACUGAGACACGGACCAGACUCCUACGGGAGGCAGCAGUGAGGAAUAUUGGACAAUGGGUGAGAGCCUGAUCCAGCCAUCCCGCGUGAAGGACGACGGUUCUAUGGAUUGUAAACUUCUUUUAUACUGGGAUAAACCUACCCUCGUGAGGGUAGCUGAAGGUACAGUAUGAAUAAGCACCGGCUAACUCCGUGCCAGCAGCCGCGGUAAUACGGAGGGUGCAAGCGUUAUCCGGAUUUAUUGGGUUUAAAGGGUCCGUAGGCGGAUCUGUAAGUCAGUGGUGAAAUCUCAUAGCUUAACUAUGAAACUGCCAUUGAUACUGCAGGUCUUGAGUAAAGUAGAAGUGGCUGGAAUAAGUAGUGUAGCGGUGAAAUGCAUAGAUAUUACUUAGAACACCAAUUGCGAAGGCAGGUCACUAUGUUUUAACUGACGCUGAUGGACGAAAGCGUGGGGAGCGAACAGGAUUAGAUACCCUGGUAGUCCACGCCGUAAACGAUGCUAACUCGUUUUUGGGUUUUCGGAUUCAGAGACUA
rnacentral:rRNA from 1 species